rnacentral:rRNA from 1 species
UUCUGGUUGAUCCUGCCAGUAGCCAUAUGCUUGUCUCAAAGAUUAAGCCAUGCAUGUCUAAGUAUAAACAAUUUGUACUUGUGAAACUGCGAACGGCUCAUUAAAUCAGUUAUAGUUUAUUUGAUGGUAUUUUUUUCUUACUUGGAUAACCGUUUGAAAAUAGAGCUAAUACAUGCCUAGAAACCUGACCGCAAGGGAGGGUUGUAUUUAUUAGAUAAAAAACCGACAUUACUUCGGUGAAUCAUAAUAACUUUGCGAAUCGAUGUUCUUUUGGACGGCGAUGCUUCAUUCAAAUUUCUGCCCUAUCAACUUUCGAUGGUAGUAUAGAGGACUACCAUGGUGAUAACGGGUAACGGAGAAUUAGGGUUCGAUUCCGGAGAGGGAGCCUGAGAGAUGGCUACCACUUCUAAGGAGGGCAGCAGGCGCGCAAAUUACCCAAUCGGAAAGCCCGGAGGUAGUGACAAGAAAUAACAAGACGAUGGACUACGUCCAUUGCCAUUGGAAUGAGUACAACUUAAACCCCUUAACGAGUAGCAAUUGGAGGGCAAGUCUGGUGCCAGCAGCCGCGGUAAUUCCAGCUCCAAUAGCGUAUAUUAAAGUUGUUGCAGUUAAAAAGCUCGUAGUUGGACUUUGGCAGUGGCGAGAGCGGUCUUCCGUGAAGGACAGUACUGUUCCGCUGCGGCGAUUUAAGUAGGAGAUGUUCGGUUGGAUUCUUGAUUGAGUCCGGCAUCGUUCCUUUGGGGGACGGAGCAGGUUGUUCCUGCGGGGACGAUUUGUUGGGCGCUCCUUCAUUUACUGUGAGUAAAUUAGAGUGUUUAAAGCAGCCUCUUUGGGCUUUGAAUACAAUUAGCAUGGGAUAAUAGAAUAGGACUUUGGUGCUAUUUUGUUGGUUUCUAGAACCGAAGUAAUGAUUAAUAGGGACAGUUGGGGGCAUUUGUAUUUAGUUGUCAGAGGUGAAAUUCAUGGAUUUACGAAAGACAAACAUCAGCGAAAGCAUUUGCCAAGGAUGUUUUCAUUAAUCAAGAACGAAAGUUAGGGGAUCGAAGAUGAUCAGAUACCGUCGUAGUCCUAUACCAUAAACUAUGCCGACCAGGGAUUUGUGGAAGUUGAUAAUGGGCGCCUCUUAGAUGAGCACCUUGUGAGAAAUCAUAAGUGUUUGGGUUCCGGGGGGAGUAUGGUCGCAAGGCUGAAACUUAAAGGAAUUGACGGAGGGGCACCACCAGGCGUGGAGCUUGCGGCUUAAUUUGACUCAACACGGGAAAACUUACCAGGCCAAGACAUUUGAAGGAUUGACAGAUUGAUAGCUCUUUCAUGAUUAUAUGGGUGGUGGUGCAUGGCCGUUCUUAGUUGGUGGAGUGAUUUGUCUGGUUAAUUCCGUUAACGAACGAGACCUCAACCUACUAAAUAGUUAUGCGUAUUUCCAAUACGUAGACAACUUCUUAGAGGGACAGUCGAUAUCAUUAAGACGAAGGAAGUGUGAGGCAAUAACAGGUCUGUGAUGCCCUUAGAUGUUCUGGGCUGCACGCGUGCUACACUGACAGAGCCAACGAGUAUACAACCUUGGCAGAGAUGUCUGGGUAAUCUUUUGAAACUCUGUCGUGCUGGGGAUAGAUGAUUGUAAUUAUUCAUCUUGAACGAGGAAUGCCUAGUAGGUGCAAUUCAUCAGAUUGCGCCGAUUACGUCCCUGCCCCUUGUACACACCGCCCGUCGCUACUACCGAUUGGAUGGUCCGGUGAAAUUCUCGAAUCGUGCUGUAACUUUGUGACUCUCGGGCUACAAAGCCAGUGUGAGAAGUUAAUUAAACCUUAUCAUCUAGAGGAAGUAAAAGUCGUAACAAGGUUUCCGUAGGUGAACCUGCA